UACGUAGGUGGCAAGCGUUGUCCGGAAUUACUGGGCGUAAAGGGCGCGUAGGCGGUUCGUUAAGUCCUGUGUGAAAUCCCCCGGCUCAACUGGGGAACUGCACAGGAAACUAGCGGGCUUGAGUUCGGGAGAGGGAAGCGGAAUUCCGGGUGUAGCGGUGAAAUGCGUAGAUAUCCGGAGGAACACCGGUGGCGAAGGCGGCUUCCUGGACCGACACUGACGCUGAGGCGCGAAAGCUAGGGGAGCAAACGGG
rnacentral:rRNA from 1 species